GCAGAUAUGGCUCAGUAGGGGAGCACUUGCCUACCAUGUAUGAGGCUCUGGGUUCAGUCCCCAGCACUGCA
rnacentral:tRNA from 1 species